UUACAGGGUAGGUUGGCAUAGUAAAAUCAAUUUGUGAAUCCUGUCUGGACUGUGGUGGUGUAAAUAAGAUAGCCCAUUCACCUCAGUUUCAGUUAUCUGGUUGUAAGCUUUAAGGAACAUUAGUAAUGAUAAAAAACAAGAUUGACAGUUGGGGAGUCAGAAUACUUCCCCCUUGUUAAUGAAACAGAUUUCUUCUAGAUGUGAAAGAGCUAUUUGGGAUAAAUAUUCAAAGCAGACAUAGUCUAUGGAGCUUCUAUAAUGUAACAGCACAAUUUGCUAUGAAAUAUUUAAGUUCUGCUGUCAUUGGAAAUGCUUAGACACCAGUUUUCACCUGCGAAAGCAGAUGUGCUUCAUGACCCACUAGAUAAAUGCCAUACAGCUGCAUCAAAAUCAUGAAGGUAAAGAUAGCUGGGUACUUACAUUACAUUCAGAAGGGUCUUGCUCUCGUAUGGGUUGUGCUGUUUCUUGCUGCUUUACUCAUAGUGCUGUUUUCCUCUGUUAAAAAUUAGAUGGCUUCAAAUAUAUGUUACCUAGAGGGACAAAGCUGAAUGCUGAUCAAGCUAGUUUUCUUGGACAUUGUAUGCAUGUGUCCACAUCUCUUCACUCCAAACAGAGAGCAAAGACCAUGUGGCCCAGCUGGUCAGUAGAAUGUAGCGUUACAACACAAAGGGUAUGCAAUGCCUAAGCAAAUAUUUACUGGAAAUGAGAUUUUUGUGCCAAGGCCAGGGUCAGGGUGAGGGAGCUGCGGGGAGCACCACUUGGGCUUAGCCAUGCUACUCAGCCUACUGGACUCCACUUAAGUGUCAACAUCUCAUCUUUUUAUUUCUAUGAAGUAGAGACCCCACUGGACAAUAUUCAGAAGCCAAUGAGUCCUCUUGGCCUCAUUAAUAAAGAGGGUAUUACAUUAUUCAUGUAAGAACGGUGAAUUUUAGCUGUAUAUUGAACAGUAAUCUUGUAAUUUUUCAGACACAGUGUGUCCUCACAACAUAAUUCUCUCUGAUUCUGUGUUAAGGACCACCUAAUAUAUCAAGAUCAGAAAAGAUUUUAGCACCUGAAAAAGCUGUAUAAAAUAUGUGUGCCAUCACUGCGAGUGCCCAGACAUGACACUGAACAAGUGCAACUGUUGUAACAUAUAUAAACAGUAAGUGCAGGCACAGUCCCAGAUCUCUCAAAGAAUAGCGAAUAACAGAAGAGGGCAACACAAUAACAUUAACCAGUAACAAAUCAAGGCAGUCUCAAACAGUAAGUCUCAGCCUUCUUGUAAAGAUAUAUUUCAGUUUCCUGGGAUUCUUCGAAAGGAAUAUAAAUGCUGUGAAGCUGGCUGACCAGCCUUCACAGCUGAUGAUCUGUUUAGAUGCAUGGUUUGAUCAGCCAGCCAGGAGAAUGCUUGCUCAGUCCCUCUAUGCUUCUGCUGCACCUUGCAGGACUUGUUACCAUCUGCUCAGGAAGGGGCAGCACAAUUCACUGGAUCCUGAAGCUCCAAGGAACAGUGUAAGCAUAGCUGUUCCCAGUCCCCAGCUGUGUUGCUUUCAGAGGUACUUCUUUAUCUACUGAGAUCCCAUGACCUUGCUCAUGCAGAGUACCGGUUGCUGCUGUCCCCUGGAGUGCUUGUGUACGUCAGACAGGGCAUUGCAUUUGCUCAGCUGGACCUUGCUUGGCAGUCACUGAAAGAAAACCUCCAUGGAUCUUCUGCUGCUCUGUCUUUGUCAGUUUAUGGCAGUCUCAGAUUUCUGGACAUUGAAGCAUGUGGCUAUUCCUGGAAAAGUGAAGCAGGAAGAGCUAGUGAGAUGUUCUGAUGGCUCUGUAACUUCAACCUCUGAGGCCGUAAUCUGGAAGCAGUUCUCAGAAAUCAAACUGUUCCUCAGGAAAAGCAUCCUGUGAAUCUUUAUCUUGAAGAAAGCUGCAACCAGACCCUGGAACCAAGUAUUUUUUCUCCUGGCCAGAUGACAGAGCACAACCCAGGAAUCUAAUACAUAGUGGAAUUACUGAGUUAACAUUAUGGCUUUCCAUUAAAAAACUUGGAAAGUUUCUUCCUAGCAGAUGCUGCACAGCACUGGGAACAAUGACAGACCUGCGUACUGGUGCUAACCACUAGUAGUUUCAAUAUGUUAUUUUCCUUGAUUUACUUCAAGCAUAUUAUUUCCCUGUUUUCCCCCACACCCAUAUACACUUUGUUUCUUUUUGCUUGUUUUUUCUUUUAUGAUCUUUAGAACUGGUCAAAAUUGCUGUUGGUUGUUUUCCAAUGUCUUUUGAACUUCAUGUAGUUUGUAAGUAAGGGUUAAAAUUAUCUCCACCAUGGAUUAAUCCUGGUUUCUGAGCUCCUUAUUUAUACUUUUAGGAUUUGCUUCACUUCUGUAGAUAACUCCUUCCUAGUUAUGGGUGCAAAUACGCAGUUUACUGCUAUUCCCACAAUUCUUGUUUUCCUUUUCUCCUUAUUUCAGAGAGCUGCUGUUCCAAAGCUUCUGCUGUGCUGGCAAUUCUUCUUCUAUGGCUGUUAACCUAAAACAGUCUACUUUCAGCCAUACCAUCACAGAUUUCUCUUAGGGUCCACAGAAGCAGUGCUGAGUCUGCAGCUCCUGUGCGGACAUGGUUGCAUGUACUCCCACAUCAGGUUUGGGCGUAGGCUUCAGUGCAGGCUGGGUUAGAAGAUGUCCCUUGCACUUUGUCCCUCAGGUGGUGCAUCAGGUCAGCUCCAUCUUACAGCAACACCACUGCAUUGAAGUGGCACACCACAGUACUUGCGUGUAGCAGCAAAAACUCUUGACUAGCUAGGAGGAAAGUCCUUCCUCUGUUGCACUGAGGAUUCUUGGUCAUGAAAUCUACAGUCAGCAAACAAAUCAAGAAACAAAAAUCCCGGAAAGAAGAAACAAAACCCCAGCAGACUGCAGGAAGAAACACUGUCCUGAAUAAAAUAUAACUGCACAGGAUUUGUGACAACCUUAAGGCUGACAGUUUUGGAGGGGGUGGGGGGGUGGGGUGUGUGUGUGCAAUCCUUCUGUAUUAAUUAUUUACUACAGAAAUUUGCUGUCUGAUGCACAUUUCUGGUGAGGGACAUCCCCUGACUUUUGUCAAAAUAGAAAGAAUACCAAGGCAAGACACAUGUAUAUGGACCUUACUCCCAUUUGAAGAUUAUACCCUAUGAGCGAUAGUUUCUUGAUAUUUUUUGGUUAUCCAGUUCUUAAUUCAGCUUGAUUUUUCUCCACCUGCUUUCAAAGAAGUUAAGCAACAAGGCUACCUCUCAAAGUGAGAUCUGAUUAGCAAAAUAUAAUAUCAUUUUGAGAUUUUUUCCUACUAACAAACAGAGACUAUUGAUCUGACAUCUGUGAGGAACAACAAACAUAAAAUCUCUUGGUAUUAGCCUGCAGAGUAAUUUGUCAUUGCAAAGCUGGACUUUGGCAUACCGUCCUGAAUUAGCCCUGAGGUUUGCCAAGAACUUUUAAAUGUUUUUCUGUUGAGUCAGAUUAUCUACGUUACACUAAGACCAAGUCUUUAUAUGUUUAGAGGUAUGAAGCCAACUGUUUGUAACUAAAUAUUGAAGAGACUAAAUACAGUUAUGAGUAAGAAACUUUUGUCAUUGGUUUACAUGGUUUUGAGGAGGGCUUUGAGAGUGAAUGUCAAGUGUUACAUGGUCGGCAGCUGGACAUGGAAAGGUUCUUAUAUUCCUUGUUGGUAUACUUACAGCUACAAUUUACUAAUAUUGGUAGCAUUCAUUUGGUGUCAAAGAAAAUAAAGAUCUCCAAACCAAUCAAGAUAAUUAUAUUUUAGAAACAGUCACCAUAAUUUUUGGGUUAUAUUUUUCACAGACAUUUUAAGAGAUUAAAGUCUAGAAAGUUGCCAUUUACAUUUUACUUAAUUUUCUACGGGUUUGAGAUAUCCUAUAGCAAAAGAUUUAAUCAAUCUGUAAUUUAAGUGCUUUUAUUGGCUUUCUGUAUUUUUAUAAGACAUGCUAAGGAUGUUAAUUUUAAAAAAUAAAUAAAAAAUAAUAAAAUAA